GCAUUUUUAUAGGAAUUUGUUGUUUUGGGUUGGAUGGUUUUCAUGGCUUUUUCUGUAACAAUGAUGGCAUCUUCAAUGGUGUAAUCCUUCCAGACUUUCAUGAUGUCUCUCUAUUGGGAUUCUCUUCCAUGGCAAUCCCUU